ACUCCUACGGGAGGCAACAGUGGGGAAUAUUGGACAAUGGGCGCAAGCCUGAUCCAGCCAUGCCGCGUGAGUGAUGAAGGCCCUAGGGUUGUAAAGCUCUUUCACCGGUGAAGAUAAUGACGGUAACCGGAGAAGAAGCCCCGGCUAACUUCGUGCCAGCAGCCGCGGUAAUACGAAGGGGGCUAGCGUUGUUCGGAUUUACUGGGCGUAAAGCGCACGUAGGCGGACUAUUAAGUCAGGGGUGAAAUCCCGGGGCUCAACCCCGGAACUGCCUUUGAUACUGGUAGUCUUGAGUUCGAGAGAGGUGAGUGGAAUUCCGAGUGUAGAGGUGAAAUUCGUAGAUAUUCGGAGGAACACCAGUGGCGAAGGCGGCUCACUGGCUCGAUACUGACGCUGAGGUGCGAAAGCGUGGGGAGCAAACAGGAUUAGAUAUCCUGGUAGUCCC
rnacentral:rRNA from 1 species